CCCCCCUGCCCCAAGUGCUUAGACCGAAGGCGGCGCUGCGCCACCGGGGGACGCCCUGGGCUCAUUUCUCUGACAGUCCUUCUACUAGGUAGGUGUAGGAUUACGAAGAGGAAGGCCUGAGAGGAAACAAGCAUUUUGUGAAUCCCUCCUUCCAAUAUGGAGAAAAUCCCACAAUGAAGUGCAUUGAGGCUGGGGCUAUUUCUCAUUCAUCUUUUUAUCUCUGGCACAGUGCCUGGCCCUGUGCUUAGGGGUUUCACUGGCUGCAUUCCCUGGCAUAAAGCGAUGAGCACAUGCUUUGGAUCACACACCCCUGGGUUCAAAUUCUGGUUCUGUCACUUACUGGCUGAUGAGCCUUGGAUAAGCUUCAUUUUCCUUGUCAACAAAAUGGGGAUAAUCACAUCUACCUUGGAAUUGUUAUGAGGAUCACAUGGAGAAACACAAGUGAAAUGCUCUGUAGAUAUAAAGCAUGUAUCAACGAUGAUCUUUCUCCCUGUUUCUCCACAUACAUAGAGAUAAAGAGGUCCCAAUUACAAGGUGGGAGAACCUGGAACAAGAAGGGAAUGAUCUGUACCUUUAAAAAGAGAAAAGGGGAGAAAAGAUGGAUUUUCUGAAUCACAUUCUGUGAGGAAUUCAAAUCUCUUGGAAGAACAGGAGAGAUACCCUUUUCAUCAAGUGGCCUGAUGAGGGAAGGUCACCUGGCGUGGAGCAGAAGAACUAUGAUGGCCUGUGGAGGCCCGCAGUGUGCUUCGGGAGGGCUGCAUGCUGCAGCCUUUCCCUCUGCUUCCAUAUGACUCUUCCAGGAGAGAUGGGUCAGUGAUGAGCGCAGCUAUGCCCAGUCCUAAGAGGGGUACUUUUCAGGGCUAAUGGUAGCCUUACUUUGACUUUCUCUUUUCCCUUUCUAAGGUAGCUGCUGACAUCUAAAAUUCUCAAAGUACAGAGGAGGAGUUCCUGGCCUCCACUUCCAUUCAAAAACCAUCCUGUGCAGAGGCCACUUCUUAUCUAGGACAUGCCAAUCUGCUGAAAGCAGGGAAAACUUGGUUUCAUAGCACGGUGAAGCAAAUCACCUCCAUGAGUAUCCAAUAUUCUCCAUAAACAGGUUUGAAAAGA
rnacentral:lncRNA from 1 species